CUCGCUUCCUUUACACAUGGACAUAACCCAGAGGGUACACUAUUUAGAUGUGUUAAUGCAAUCCUUUCGAUUGUUUAGCUCUUCUUAUGCAGAAAAGGGUGCAAAGAAGGAGAAGAAGAAGAAGAGUUUGGAUUUAUACCCC